GAUGAACGCUGGCGGCGUGCCUAAUACGUGCAAGUCGAGCGAACAGAUGAGGAGCUUGCUCCUCUGACGUUAGCGGCGGACGGGUGAGUAACACGUGGAUAACCUACCUAUAAGACUGGGAUAACUUCGGGAAACCGGAGCUAAUACCGGAUAAUAUAUUGAACCGCAUGGUUCAAUAGUGAAAGACGGUUUUGCUGUCACUUAUAGAUGGAUCCGCGCCGCAUUAGCUAGUUGGUAAGGUAACGGCUUACCAAGGCAACGAUGCGUAGCCGACCUGAGAGGGUGAUCGGCCACAGUGGAACUGAGACACGGUCCAGACUCCUACGGGAGGCAGCAGUAGGGAAUCUUGCGCAAUGGGGGAAAGCCUGACGGAGCAACGCCGCGUGAGUGAUGAAGGUCUUCGGAUCGUAAAACUCUGUUAUUAGGGAAGAACAAAUGUGUAAGUAACUAUGCACGUCUUGACGGUACCUAAUCAGAAAGCCACGGCUAACUACGUG
rnacentral:rRNA from 1 species